rnacentral:rRNA from 1 species
GAUGAACGCUGGCGGCGUGCCUAAUACAUGCAAGUCGAGCGAACAGACGAGGAGCUUGCUCCUCUGACGUUAGCGGCGGACGGGGGAGUAAAACGUGGAUAACAUACCUAUAAGACUGGGAUAACUUAGGGAAACCGGAGCUAAUACCGGAUAAUAUAUUGAACCGCAUGGUUCAAUAGUGAAAGACGGUUUUGCUGUCACUUAUAGAUGGAUCCGCGCCGCAUUAGCUAGUUGGUAAGGUAACGGCUUACCAAGGCAACGAUGCGUAGCCGACCUGAGAGGGUGAUCGGCCACACUGGAACUGAGACACGGUCCAGACUCCUACGGGAGGCAGCAGUAGGGAAUCUUCCGCAAUGGGCGAAAGCCUGACGCAGCAACGCCGCGUGUGUGAUGAAGGUCUUCGGAUCGUAAAGCUCUGUUAGUAGGGAAGAACAAAUGUGUAAUUAACUAUGCACGUCUUGACGGUACCUACUCAGAAAGCCACGGCUAACUACGUG